AUGCUUGGGAAUAUGCCUUAUGGUGGGGGACAACAGUUGGAAACGACUGCUAAUACCGCAUGAUGUCUACGGACCAAAGUGGGGGACCUUCGGGCCUCACGCCAUAAGAUUAGCCCAAGUGGGAUUAGCUAGUUGGUGAGGUAAUGGCUCACCAAGGCGACGAUCCCUAGCUGGUUUGAGAGGAUGAUCAGCCACACUGGGACUGAGACACGGCCCAGACUCCUACGGGAGGCAGCAGUGGGGAAUAUUGCACAAUGGGCGCAAGCCUGAUGCAGCCAUGCCGCGUGUGUGAAGAAGGCCUUCGGGUUGUAAAGCACUUUCAGUAAGGAGGAAAGGUUAAGUGUUAAUAGCGCUUAGCUGUGACGUUACUUACAGAAGAAGCACCGGCUAACUCCGUGCCAGCAGCCGCGGUAAUACGGAGGGUGCGAGC
rnacentral:rRNA from 1 species